UUAAUAGGGCUGCAUAUGGCAGGUCACUUUGAUAUAGUGAAUAGUGAAUAAUAAUUCCGUUAAU
rnacentral:tRNA from 1 species